GUCAGUAGUCAUAUCACUCUGCAACUCACAACUGGCAAUCCACUGAAGCUAAGCAGGUGUGAGCCUGGUCAGUACCUGGAUGGGAGACUUCCUGGGAAAAACUAAGGUUGCUGCUGGAA
rnacentral:rRNA from 1 species